rnacentral:rRNA from 1 species
ACUGCUCAGUAACACGUGGACAACCUACCCUUAGGACGGGGAUAAACCCGGGAAACUGGGUAUAAUACCCGAUAGAUCUGGGCUGCUGGAAUGCAUUCAGAUUUAAAACUCCGGUGCCUAAGGAUGGGUCUGCGGCCUAUCAGGUUGUAGUGGGUGUAGCGUACCUACUAGCCUACGACGGGUACGGGUUGUGAGAGCAAGAGCCCGGAGAUGGAUUCUGAGACACGAAUCCAGGCCCUACGGGGUGCAGCAGGCGCGAAAACUUUACAAUGCCGGCAACGGCGAUAAGGGGACCUCGAGUGCCAGGUUACAAAUCUGGCUGUCGCGAUGCCUAAAAAGCAUUGCAUAGCAAGGGCCGGGCAAGACCGGUGCCAGCCGCCGCGGUAACACCGGCGGCUCGAGUGGUAACCGUUAUUAUUGGGUCUAAAGGGUCUGUAGCCGGCCGGGUAAGUCUCUUGGGAAAUCCAGCAGCUUAACUGUUGGGCUUUCAGGAGAUACUGUCUGGCUCGAGGCCGGGAGAGGUGAGAGGUACUUCAGGGGUAGGGGUGAAAUCUUGUAAUCCUUGAAGGACCACCAGUGGCGAAGGCGUCUCACCAGAACGGACCUGACGGCAAGGGACGAAAGCUAGGGGCACGAACCGGAUUAGAUACCCGGGUAGUCCCAGCCGUAAACGAUGCUCGCUAGGUGUCAGGCAUGGCGCGACCGUGUCUGGUGCCGCAGGGAAGCCGUGAAGCGAGCCACCUGGGAAGUACGGCCGCAAGGCUGAAACUUAAAGGAAUUGGCGGGGGAGA